GAGAAGUUAGUUCUGGUUCAGGUGCUAAUCACCCACAUCUGUGCAGCACAGGUAUUUUUGGGGGGGAGGACCCAGUUGUGAGUCAAGAUGCCAGACUGGCACAUCUUCAGAGCAUCGUGGUGUUUUUGGGGGAUGAAAAUGCCCUCCCAGCUGAGUGUGGCAUUAACUCUAAGUUGCUGGAGGCUGGGAAUGGAGGUGCUGGUUAGAAAGCCACCUGCACAUCAGAGACAAAGGGCCCUGACUGCUAAAAGCCUUUUGGGGGAGGAGAAAAUGCUG